UAGAGUUUCGAAAGCGUUCUUUCAUCUUCUUCCUAAAAAUCAGAGAAAGUUGAUUUAAUCCUGCAUACCGUUUCAUAAUCUCUGACUCGAUUCUUAGUUCUCAGAGUUUUAGAGAUUCUAAGUUUUUCGCUUCUUAAAUUUUUGUGUUCAAAAAAAAAAAUUGUUUUUACAGAGAAUUUGAAGGUGGAAGGGUAAAUUAAGAGGAGGAUCAUCGGGAGUAAAAGCAAACAAGAUCAUGAUUGUUAUCCUUCUCUUCUCUCUCCUCUUUGUUAUAAGGAUCAAAAUACAAAUCAUCAUCAUCGUUGAUCCUCCUCUUAAAUUCACACAUAGCUGAGCUUUUCUUUUUCAAAUAAAGCAACAACUGAUUUUCUUUGUGCAGGUAACGAUGUUCGAGAAUAGGUAUCCGUUCAGAGGAUCUUCUUCCGCCGGCAAAUACUCUUCGCCACCGCCGCCACAGACUGUCAAUGUGGCACACCUAAGAGUCGGAUCUUAUUACGAAAUCGAUCACUCUGUUCUCCCUCUCAGAGUCUCAGAUCGCCACAGCAACCCAAGUCCAUCUGAAUCGUCAUGGUGAGCAAAAUCACUAGAAGCGAUUAACUCUCCUGGUGGAGAAUGUAUAUGUGUAAUAAUAAAUGUUUUUCCUGGUGGAGUACUGAAUCAUUAACUCUCCAAGCAGGAAUCUAUGUAUAUAUGAGUUACUUUUGUCCAGGAAAGAGAAAGCGUGCCUUAAGGUUUAUGGUUUGUAUUUUUUUGGUUAUUCUCGGGAUUUAAUGGUUUUUGGUUUUCUCAAUUUACAGCGAGAGAAAGGUUAGCUUUUUACUUGAUACGGAGGACACUAUUGCUGAAUACGAGAAUAAUGCAAAGGCGAAAAGAACAGAAAAACUGGAGAA